UUUGGUAAAUUCUGCUGGAUUUUGUUUACGGGUUUUGGGACUGGGCUUCGCUAAAAUGUAUUGAGGUCUGGAGGUAACUUUGAAGUACGGGAUCUGAUACUAGAAUUGUGCAGAAUCUGGGUUAGCACUCAUGUGAGGAAGAUUGUUGUUUGUGUUGCAUCUUGAACACCUUGCAGCAAGCUUGAGCAAGCGAGCAGCAGAUAGGGGUUUGUUAGCUUGUUGGAACUUGAAGCUUGGAAUGGAAGCAUAGCAUAUCAUGGUGAGUUCUUAGAUAGUUUAACCUACCUUUGGGUUGUGUAAUCUUAGCAAGAAAACAUGAAUUUAGUUGAGUUUAGUUUAGUAAGAAUUUUAGUACCCAAUGCCAAAUCUUGUUGAUUAUGUGUUAAUAUUGCCAUGCUAACGAUUCUUGAUGUU
rnacentral:lncRNA from 1 species